rnacentral:lncRNA from 1 species
CGACAGUCCCAAUCCAUUCCAGCUUUCAAGCCAGGUGCUACGAUUUCAGCGCAGCUGUGAAAUCAAUGAAAAUAGUGAAUGAGCAUGUCGACGCUGCUGGAUCUGAAGAGCAGUGUGCUGAGGCAGGUGCAAAGGAGCCAGUCCCUGAGGACUAGGAGGGAGCCACCGGCCAGCACCAGCGCUGGAGGGAGUCCCCCGACCCUCGCACGCCGCUCUGGCACCAUCGUACACAGGGUUGCCAGGGGAAACGGGGAUUUCUUUGACCGCAUGAAUAAAAUCCUCCAGAAACAGGAUAGUCUGCUGUCUGCUGGCCAAACUGAGGAGGAGAGCAGCUGUGCUCCUCCACCCCCGGAAUGCAAAGACCAGGCUUUUGUUCCUGAGAGAUCCACCAGGGAUGAGCUGGAUUUGUUGUAUGAGGAGGCGAUCUACACCGUGGUCAAUCGCGUUGGGGUGCCGUCGCCAGAAUAUGUUACCAACGAAGGGGACAUUUUCAAUUACCUGCAGAAGGUGCAACUUUGUUGUUUUCUCAAUAAAUUGCAUAGUACAUGUUUCAAACACUCCCGCAUCCCUCCAUAACCACACAAAUAUCACAAUGCGUAUUGUGCCUCUGGCGCUUCAAAUCCACCAAGACCUAAAUAAAUAUCAUGCUCUGAUUUUUUUCUAAAUAGAAAUGAAAUACAAAGUAAUACUUUUUUUUAAAUCUUUUGUUUUCAAAGUUCUUGCAUUGUUGAAAAAAAAAGCUAGUCUUUGAAGGAAUUGUGGGGGAACGGAGAGUUGAGCUUAGGUGGUGGUGGGGG